AUUUAAGCAUAUCAAUAAGCGGAGGAAAGAAACUAACAAGGAUUCCCCCAGUAACGGCGAGUGAAGCGGGAACAGCUCAAAUUUGAAAUCUCCGUUGCUUGCAACGGCGAAUUGUAGUUUCGAGAAGCACUUUCUAGGCGGAUCGGCCCUGUCUAAGUUGCUUGGAACAGCACGUCAGAGAGGGUGACAACCCCGUCCGUGACGGGGCCGGCCGCUCACGAUGUGUUUUCGAAGAGUCGGGUUGUUUGGGAAUGCAGCCCAAAAUGGGUGGUAAACUCCAUCUAAAGCUAAAUAUAGGCACGAGACCGAUAGCGAACAAGUACCGUGAGGGAAAGAUGAAAAGAACUUUGAAAAGAGAGUUAAAAAGUACGUGAAACCGUUGAAAGGGAAACGAAUGGAGUUAGCAAUGCACCCUGCAAGAUUCAGCCGGCGGGUGGCGCGGACGGGCGGUUGGCGGAUCCGAAUGGACCGCCGUCGUCCGGCUCGCGCUCCCCUCCGUCGCACUUCUUGCGGGUGCGCGUCAACGUCGGUUCGGACCCGGUCUGAAAGUGUGCGGGAAGGUAGGUCGCGUCGCCUCGGCGUCGCUUCUGUUACAGCCCGCGCUCGCAUGGCCGGGACCGGACCGAGGUGCCGCAGCGCAUGCCUCUUCUGGCUAGUGUCCCUCUGUGCCGGUCGGUUGUCGACUGUGGUGGACUGCGUGCAGUGCACCCGAACUGCUUCCGGUCGCCGCGGAGGUGACUUCGUACCAUGCGCUCAGGACGUUGGCGGUCAUAUGGCUUCAUCCGACCCGUCUUGAAACACGGACCAAGGAGUCUAGCCUGUGCGCGAGUCUUAGGGUGACCGAAACCCCCGGGCGCAAUGAAAGUGAAAGCGGCCUGUCCGCCGAGGUGAGAACCUUCCCUCCUGCGGGGGAGGCGCAUCAUUGACCGAUCUAUUCUACUCUUAGGAAGAUUUGAGUAA
rnacentral:rRNA from 1 species